CUACGGGGUGCUGCAGUGGGGAAUAUUGCACAAUGGGCGCAAGCCUGAUGCAGCCAUGCCGCGUGUAUGAAGAAGGCCUUCGGGUUGUAAAGUACUUUCAGCGGGGAGGAAGGGAGUAAAGUUAAUACCUUUGCUCAUUGACGUUACCCGCAGAAGAAGCACCGGCUAACUCCGUGCCAGCAGCCGCGGUAAUACGGAGGGUGCAAGCGUUAAUCGGAAUUACUGGGCGUAAAGCGCACGCAGGCGGUUUGUUAAGUCAGAUGUGAAAUCCCCGGGCUCAACCUGGGAACUGCAUCUGAUACUGGCAAGCUUGAGUCUCGGAGAGGGGGGUAGAAUUCCAGGUGUAGCGGUGAAAUGCGUAGAGAUCUGGAGGAAUACCGGUGGCGAAGGCGGCCCCCUGGACGAAGACUGACGCUCAGGUGCGAAAGCGUGGGGAGCAAACAGGAUUAGAUACCCCCGUAGUC
rnacentral:rRNA from 1 species